rnacentral:rRNA from 1 species
UACGUAGGGGGCAAGCGUUGUCCGGAAUUAUUGGGCGUAAAGAGCGCGUAGGCGGCCAGAUAAGUCCGGUGUGAAAGUCACAGGCUCAACCUGUGAAUGCCGCUGGAAACUGUCUGGCUAGAGUCCGGGAGGGGCGAGUGGAAUUCCUGGUGUAGCGGUGAAAUGCGUAGAUAUCGAGAGGAACACCUGCGGCGAAGGCGGGUUGCUGGGCUGAUACUGACGCUGAGGCGCGAAAGCUAGGGGGAGCGAACGGGG